rnacentral:lncRNA from 1 species
UUCCCCUUAAUCCCGUUUUAAACUCUCUAGAUCUAGUUUUCCUUUUAGAUUUUUUUAACAAAAAAAGGAGGGGAAAAGGUUUGAAAAGGGCAUAAAAGGGAGUCAGAUCUGUGCGCCCUCAACCACCACUCACGGCGGUAUCACAAUGGUGUCGGCGAUGAUGGGUUUCAAACCCUAGCUGAAAAGAAAAGUGGGAAAAAGGAAGUUUCUUCUUUGACUUGUUUUC